GACGAACGCUGGCGGCGUGCUUAACACAUGCAAGUCGAACGAAGUGGCGAACGGGUGAGUAACGCGUAAUAAACCUGCCCUUCAGAGGGGGACAACCGUUGGAACCGACUGCUAAUACCGCAUACUGAAGGCGGGGAGUGCGUCUGAUGAGCUAGUUGGGGGGGUAACGGCUCACCAAGGCGAUGAUCAGUAGCCGGUCUGAGAGGAUGAACGGCCACAUUGGGACUGAGACACGGCCCAGACUCCUACGGGAGGCAGCAGUGGGGAAUCUUCCGCAAUGGACGAAAGUCUGACGGAGCAACGCCGCGUGAGUGAUGAUGGCCUUCGGGUUGUAAAGCUCUGUUAAUCGGGACGCGGUACCGGAAUAGAAAGCCACGGCUAACUACGUGCCAGCAGCCGCGGUAAUAC
rnacentral:rRNA from 1 species